AUGGUCAGGAUGACAGUUGGGGGUAAAGACAUUGAUUUUCUUGUAGAUACCGGUGCUGAACAUUCGGUAGUAACCACCCCAGUCGCCCCCUUAUCCAAAAAGACUAUUGACAUCAUUGGAGCCACGGGAGUUUCAGCAAAACAAGCUUUCUGCUUGCCCUGGUCUUGUACUGUAGGAGGACAUAAAGUGAUUCAUCAGUUUUUGUACGUGCCUGAUUGUCCCUUGCCCUUGUUAGGAAGGGACUUGCUUAGCAAACUGAGAGCCACUAUCUCUUUUACAGAGCACGGCUCUGUGCUGCUAAAGUUACCCAGAACGGGAGUCAUUAUGACCCUUACCGUCCCCCGAGAGGAGGAAUGGAGACUUUUCUUAACUGAGCCAGGCCAAGAGAUAAGACCAACUCUGGCUAAGUGGUGGCCAAGAGUGUGGGCAGAAGACAACCCUCCAGGGUUGGCAGUCAACCAAGUCCCCGUACUUAUAGAAGUUAAGCCUGGGGCCCAGCCAGUUAGGCAAAAACAGUACCUGGCCCGCAGAGAAGCUCUUGAAGGUAUCCAGGUCCAUCUCAAGCACCUAAGAACCUUUGGAAUUAUAGUUGCUUGUCAGUCUCCAUGGAACACUCCCCUCCUGCCUGUUCCCAAGCCUGGGACCAAGGACUACAGGCCAGUACAGGAUUUGUGCUUGGUUAAUCAGGCUACAGUGACUUUACAUCCAACAGUACCUAACCUGUACACAUUGCUGGGGUUGCUGCCAGCUGAGGACAGCUGGUUCACCUGCUUGGACCUGAAAGAUGCUUUCUUUAGCAUCAGAUUAGCCCCUGAGAGCCAGAAGCUAUUUGCCUUUCAGUGGGAAGAUCCGGAGUCAGGUGUCACUACUCAGUACACUUUGACCCGGCUUCCCCAAGGGUUCAAGAACUCCCCCACCAUCUUCGGGGAGGUGUUGGCUCGAGACCUCCAGAAGUUUCCCACCAGAGACCUAGGCUGUGUGUUGCUCCAGUACGUUGAUGACCUUUUGCUGGGACACCCCACGGCAGUCAGGUGCGCCAAGGGAACAGAUGCUCUACUCCAGCACCUGGAGGACUGUGGGUAUAAGGUGUCCAAGAAAAAAGCUCAGAUCUGCCGACAGCAGGUACGUUACUUGGGAUUUACUAUCCGACAGGGGGAGCACAGCCUGGGAUCAGAAAGAAAGCAGGUCAUUUGUAAUCUACCGGAGCCUAAGACCAGAAGGCAGGUAAGAGAAUUCUCAGGGGCUGUAAGGUUUUGCAGACUGUGGAUCCCAAACUUUGCAGUAUUAGCAAAGCCUUUGUAUGAGGUCACAAAGGAAGGGGACCGGGAACCUUUUGAAUGGGGAUCCCAGCAAUAGCAAGCCUUUCAUGAGUUAAAGGAAAGACUUAUAUCAGCCCCAGCCCUGGGGCUAUCCGAUCUGACAAAGCCUUUUACAUUGUAUGUGUCAGAGAGAGAAAAGAUGGCAGUUGGAGUUUUAACCCAAACUGUGGGGCCCUGGCCGAGGCAGGCUGGUGACCUACCUCUCUAAACAACUAGAUGGGGUUUCUAAAGGAUGGCCCCCAUGUUUGAGGGCCUUGGCAGCAACUGCCCUGCUAGUACAAGAAGCAGAUAAGCUGACUCCUGGGCAAAACCUGAACAUAAAGGCCCCCCAUGCUGUGGUGACUUUAAUGAAUACUAAAGGACAUGAUUGGCUAAUGAAUGCUAGACUCACUAAGUACCAAAGUUUGCUUUGUGAAAAUCCACGUAUAACCAUUGAAGUUUGUAACACCCUGAACCCCGCUACCUUGCUCCCAGUAUCAGAGAGCACUGUCGAGCAUGACUGUGUAGAAGUGUUGGACUCGGUUUACUCUAGCAGACCUGACCUCCAGGACCAGCCUUGGGCAUCAGUAGACUGGGAACUAUACAUGGAUGGGAGCAGCUUUAUCAACCCACAAGGAGAGAGAUGUGCAGGGUAUGCGGUGGUAACUCUGGACACUGUUGUUGAAGCCAGAUCAUUGCCCCAGGGCACUUCAGCUCAGAAAGCUGAACUCAUUGCUUUAAUUCGGGCCUUAGAACUCAGUGAAGGUAAGACUGUAAACAUUUACACUGACUCUCGAUAUGCCUUUUUAACCCUUCAAGUGCAUGGAGCAUUAUAUAAAGAAAAGGGCCUAUUGAACUCUGGGGGAAAAGACAUAAAAUGUCAACAAGAAAUCCUGCAAUUAUUAGAAGUGGUAUGGAAACCCCACAGGGUGGCAGUUAUGCAUUGCAGAGGACACCAGCAAGCUUCCACCUUGGUGGGUUUGGGGAAUUCCUGUGCUGACUUAGAGGCUCAAAAAGCAGCAUCUGCCCCCUUCCGGGCAUCAGUGACAGCCCCCCUGCUCCCUCAAGCACCUGAUCUUGUACCUACUUAUUCUAAAGAAGAAAAGGACUUUCUCCAGGCAGAGGGAAGACAAGUGAUGGAGGAAGGAUGGAUUCGGUUACCAGAUGGGAGAGUAGCUGUGCCACAGCUGCUAGGAGCUGCAGUUGUACUGGCUGUGCGUGAAACCACCCAUCUAGCAUAAUGCGAGGCAAGGUCCAGCUGUUCCCCCCGGCAUACAAGUUUAUGGAGCAGCCCCCUUUGAAGAUCUCCAGGUGGAAUUCACAGAGAUGCCAAAGUGUGGAGGUAACAAGUAUUUACUAGUUCUUGUGUGUACCUACUCUGGGUGGGUGGAGGCUUAUCCAACACGAACUGAGAAAGCUUGUGAAGUAACUCGUGUGCUCUUCGAGAUCUUAUUCCUAGAUUUGGACUGCCCUUACAGAUCGGCUCAGAUAACGGGCUGGCGUUUGUGGCUGACUUGGUACAGAAGACGGCAAAGGUAUUGGGGAUCACAUGGAAACUGCCUGCUGCCUACCAGCCUCAGAGUUCCAGAAAAGUGGAGCGGAUGAAUCGGACUAUCAAAAAUAGUUUAGGGAAAGUAUGUCAGGAAACAGGAUUAAAAUGGAUACAGGCUCUCCCUACGGUAUUAUUUAAAAUUAGAUGUAUCCCUUCUAAAAGAACAGGAUAUUCCCCUUAUGAAAUAUUAUAUCAUAGGCCCCCUCCUAUAUCGCGGGGACUUCCAGGCACUCCCCGAGAGUUAGGUGAAAUUCAGUUACAGUGACAGCUACAGGCUUUAGGAAAAAUUAUGCAAACAAUCUCAGCUUGGGUAAAUGAGAGAUGCCCUGUUAGCUUAUUCUCCCCAGUUCACCCUUUCUCCCCAGGUGAUUGAGUGUGGAUCAAGGACUGGAACGUAGCCUCUUUGUGUCCACGGUGGAAAGGACCCCAGACUGUCAUCCUGACCACUCCCACUGCUGUGAAGGUAGAGGGAAUCGCAUCCUGGAUCCACCACAGCCAUGUAAAACCUGCAACGCCUGAAACCUGGGAGGCAAGACCAAGCCCAGACAACCCUUGCAGAGUGACCCUGAAGAAGACGACAAGCCCUGCUCCAGUCACACCCGGAAGCUGACUGGUCCACGCACGGCCGAAGCAUGAGGAAGCUCAUCGUGGGAUUCAUUUUUCUUAAAUUUUGGACUUAUACAGUAAGGGCUUCAACUGACCUUACUCAAACUGGGGACUGUUCCUAGUGUAUUCAUCAGGUCUCCGAGGUAGGACACCAAAUUAAAACAAUGUUUCUGUUCUAUAGUUAUUAUGAAUGUAUGGGAACAUUAAAAGAAACUUGUUUGUAUAAUGCCACUCAGUACAAGGAAUGUAGCCCGGGAAAUGACCAACCUGAUGUAUGUUAUAACCCAUCUGAGCCCCCUGCAGCCACUAUUUUUGAAAUAAGAAUAAGAACUGGCCUUUUCCUAGGUGAUACAAGUAAAAUAAUAGCUAGAACAGAAGAAAAAGGAAUCCCCAAACAAAUAAAUUUAAGAUUUGAUGCUUGUGCAGCCAUUAAGAGUAAAAAGCUAGGAAGAGAAUGUGGUUCUCUUAACUGGGAAAGGAGCUACAGAGUAGAAAAUAAAUAUAUUUGUCAUGAGUCAGGGGUUUGUGAAAAUUGUGCCUAUUGGCCAUGUGUUAUUUGGGCUACUUGAAAAAAGAACAAAAAAGACCCGGUUUAUCUUCAGAAGGGGGAAGCCAACCCCUCCUGUGCUGCCAGUCACUGUAACCCACUAGAACUAAUAAUUACCAAUCCCCUAGAUUCCCAUUGGAAAAAGGGAAAACGUAUAACCCUGGGGAUCAAUGGGACAGGCUUAAACCCCCAAGUUGCCAUUUUAAUUAGAGGGGAGGUCCACAAGCGCUCUCCCAAACCAGUAUUUCAAACCUGUUAUGAGGAGCUGAAUCUGCCAGCACCAGAACUUCCAAAAAAGACAGAAAAUUUGUUUCUCCAAUUAGCAGAAAAUGUAGCUCAUUCCCUUAAUGUUACUUCUUGUUAUGUAUGCGGGGGAACCACUAUCGGAGACCGAUGGCCUAGGGAAGCCUGAGAGUUGGUGCCUACUGAUCCAGCUCCUGAUAUAAUUCCAGUUCAGAAAGCCCAAGCUAGCAACUUCUGGGUCCUAAAAACCUCAAUUAUUGGACAAUACUGUAUAGCUAGAGAAGGGAAAGACUUUAUCAUCCCUGUAAGAAAGCUUAAUUGUGUAGGACAGAAGUUGUAUAACAGUACAACAAAGACAAUUACUUGGUGGGGCCUAAACCACACUGAAAAGAAUCCAUUUAGUAAAUUUUCUAAAUUAAAAGCUCCUUGGGCUCAUCCAGAAUCUCAUCAGGACUGGACGGCUCCCGCUGGACUAUACUGGAUAUGUGGGCACAGAGCCUACAUGCGGUUACCUAAUAAAUGGGCAGGCAGUUGUGUUAUUGGCACUAUUAAGCCGUCCUUUUCUUAUUACCCAUAAAAACAGGUGAGCUCCUAGGUUUCCCUGUCUAUGCCUCCCGAGAAAAGAGAGGCAUAGUUAUAGGAAACUGGAAAGAUAAUGAGUGGCCCCCUGAAAGGAUCAUACAGUAUUAUGGGCCUGCCACAUGGGCCCAAGACGGCUCAUGGGGAUACCGAAUCCCCAUUUACAUGCUCAAUUGGAUCAUACAAUUGCAGGCCAUCUUAGAAAUAAUUACUAAUUAAACUGGCAGAGGUUUGACUGUUUUAGCUCGGCAGGAAACCCAAAUGAGGAAUGCUAUCUAUCAGAAUAGACUGGCCUUGGACUACUUGCUAGCAGCUGAAGGAGGAGUUUGUGGAAAAUUUAACUUAACCAAUUGCUGCCUACAAAUAGAUGAUCAAGGACAGGUGGUUAAAAACAUAGUCAGGGACAUGACAAAGGUGGCACAUGUGCCUGUACAGGUUUGGCAGAGUUUAAUCCUGAGUCUUUAUUUGGAAAAUGGUUUCCAGCUAUAGGAGGAUUUAAAACCCUCAUUGUAGGUGUAUUGCUAGUGAUAGGAACUUGCUUGCUGCUCCCCUGCAUAUUAUCCUUGCUUUUUCAAAUGAUAAAAGGUUUUGUUGUUACUUUGGCUCACCAGGAAACUUCAGCACACAUGUAUUAUAUGAAUCACUAUCGCUCUAUCUCACAAAGAGACUCAGAAAAUGAGGAUGAGAGUGAGAACUCCCACUAAAAAGUGAAAAUUCUCAAAGGGGGGAAAUAUGGUAUGAGGCUACCACUUCUCCUGUUGUCCUUCUCAGUUUCUCCCCAACCUCCACUUUUCCCUAGUUUAUAAGACAGGAGAAAAAGGGAGAAAGCAAAAAGUUGGAAAGAAACAGAAGUAAGAUAAAUAGCUAGACGACCUUGGCACCACCACCUGGCCCUGGUGGCUAAAAUAAUAAUAAUAUUAACCCCUGACCAAAACUACUGGUGUUAUCUGUAAAUUCCAGACAUUGUAUGAGAAAGCACUGUAAAACUUUUUGUUCUGUUAGCUGAUGUAUGUAGGCCCCAGUUGCGUUCCUCACGCUUACUUGAUCUAUUAUGACUUUUUCACGUAGACCCCUUAGAGUUGUAAGCCAUUAAAAGAGCUAGGAGUUUCUUUUUCGGAGAGCUCGGCUCUUAAGACAUGAGUCUGCCGACGCUCCCGGCCAAAUAAAAAACCUCUUCCUACUUUAA